GAUACCUCACUCUGAUGAAUAUUCCCUGGGGACUGAGGUUCUCUGUUAGUCCAGUGGUUCGGAUUCCGAGCUCCCACCACAGGAGCUUCAGCCCGACCCCUGGCUCAUGAACCAAGAUCCCACAAGCCACAUGG